rnacentral:rRNA from 1 species
GACGGAGGAUGCAAGUGUUAUCCGGAAUCACUGGGCGUAAAGCGUCUGUAGGUGGUUCAAUAAGUCAACUGUUAAAUCUUGAGGCUCAACUUCAAAAAUCGCAGUCGAAACUAUUGGACUCGAGUAUAGUAGGGGUAAAGGGAAUUUCCAGUGGAGCGGUGAAAUGCGUAGAGAUUGGAAAGAACACCAAUGGCGAAAGCACUUUACUGGGCUAUUACUGACACUGAGAGACGAAAGCUAGGGGAGCGAAUGGG